AACGAACGCUGGCGGCAGGCCUAACACAUGCAAGUCGAACGCUCCGCAAGGGGAGUGGCGCACGGGUGAGUAACACGUGGGAACCUACCUUCUGGUACGGAACAACCAAGGGAAACUUUGGCUAAAACCGUAUACGACCUCCGGGUGAAAGAUUGAUCGCCGGAAGAGGGGCCCGCGUCCGAUUAGGUAGUUGGUGAGGUAACGGCUCACCAAGCCUACGAUCGGUAGCUGGUCUGAGAGGAUGACCAGCCACACUGGGACUGAGACACGGCCCAGACUCCUACGGGAGGCAGCAGUGGGGAAUAUUGGACAAUGGGCGCAAGCCUGAUCCAGCCAUGCCGCGUGAGUGAUGAAGGCCUU
rnacentral:rRNA from 1 species